AUGGUGUGGUGGCGGUUCAGGACCACCACGGCGACGGGUGGUCUUAGGAAACUCCCCAGGCACACGGGCCUCCCUGGAUUAAUACACCAGGGGGGCUUAGGCCCGCAUGGGCCUGUGAGCUCCGUGUGGUGAGGCCCAGGUUGGGCUCCAGGUGGAUGCCGACUGAAGGGGAGUUAUACCAUGCCAU
rnacentral:RNase_P_RNA from 2 species